rnacentral:rRNA from 1 species
AGAGCGAACGCUGGCGGCAGGCCUAACACAUGCAAGUCGAACGGACCCUUCGGGGUUAGUGGCAGACGGGUGAGUAACACGUGGGAACGUGCCUUUAGGUUCGGAAUAGCUCCUGGAAACGGGUGGUAAUACCGAAUGUGCCCUUCGGGGGAAAGAUUUAUCGCCUUUAGAGCGGCCCGCGUCUGAUUAGCUUGUUGGUGAGGUAAUGGCUCACCAAGGCUACGAUCAGUAGCUGGUCUGAGAGGAUGACCAGCCACAUUGGGACUGAGACACGGCCCAAACUCCUACGGGAGGCAGCAGUGGGGAAUCUUGCGCAAUGGGCGAAAGCCUGACGCAGCCAUGCCGCGUGUAUGAUGAAGGUCUUGGGAUUGUAAAUACUUUCACCGGUGAAGAUAAUGACUGUAGCCGGAGAAGAACGCCCGGCUAACUUCGUGCCAGCACGCCGC